AGGUACGAGCCCCCCAAUCGCUCGCGGUUGACCGUCAUCACUCGAUCGUCUCGCGGCACACGCCCCGCGAGAAAAAUUAACGCCGCGGCCUCGUGCGGUUUUUCCAUUGCUGACCGACGCGCCCCCCUCCCCCCGACUUCAAACAGCUCCAAGCGCUGGUGGACACCUACGGCCUUCGCUGGGCCGACAUCUCCCGCCGCAUGGAGGGGCGGACGGACCAGCAGUGCAUGGGCCGCUGGAGGCGCCACCUCGACCCCAGCGUCUCUCGCAAGCAGUGGUCCACCAAGGAGGACCGCAAGCUCGCCGAGCUCAGGGUCCGGCACGGCGCCAACUGGAGCGCCAUCGCCAAGACGAUGAAGAACCGCACCGCGCAGCAGUGCCGCGCGAGAUGGUUCC
rnacentral:lncRNA from 1 species